GAUGAAGAACGCAGCGAAAUGCGAUAAGUAGUGUGAAUUGCAGAAUUCAGUGAAUCAUCGAAUCUUUGAACGCACAUUGCGCCCCUUGGUAUCCCGAGGGGCAUGCCUGUUCGAGCGUCAUUUCACCACUCAAGCCUGGCUUGGUGUUGGGCGACGUCCCCUUUGGGGACGCGCCUCGAAACGCUCGGCGGCGUGGCACCGGCUUUAAGCGUAGCAGAAUCUUUCGCUUUGGAAGUCGGGGCCCCGUCUGCCGGAAGACCUACUCGCAAGGUUGACCUCGGAUCAGACAGGGAUACCCGCUGAACUUAAGCAUAUCAAUAAGCGGAGGA
rnacentral:misc_RNA from 1 species